rnacentral:rRNA from 1 species
UAGGGAAUCUUCGGCAAUGGACGAAAGUCUGACCGAGCAACGCCGCGUGAGUGAAGAAGGUUUUCGGAUCGUAAAACUCUGUUGUUAGAGAAGAACAAGGACGUUAGUAACUGAACGUCCCCUGACGGUAUCUAACCAGAAAGCCACGGCUAACUACGUGCCAGCAGCCGCGGUAAUACGUAGGUGGCAAGCGUUGUCCGGAUUUAUUGGGCGUAAAGCGAGCGCAGGCGGUUUCUUAAGUCUGAUGUGAAAGCCCCCGGCUCAACCGGGGAGGGUUUGUGGAAUCUGUGAGACUUGAGUGCAGAAGACGAGAGUGGAAUUUCAUGUGUAGCGGUGAAACGCGUAGAUAUAUGGAGGAACACCAGUUGCGAAGGCGGCUCUCUGGUCUGUAACUGACGCUGAGGCUCGAAAGCGUGGGGAGCAAACAGG